rnacentral:rRNA from 1 species
UACGUAGGGACCGAGCGUUGUCCGGAAUCAUUGGGCGUAAAGAGCGUGUAGGCGGCUUGCUAAGUCUUGCGUGAAAUCUCGGGGCUCAACCCCGAGCGGUCGUGGGAAACUGGCAGGCUAGAGUGCGGGAGAGGAGAAUGGAAUUCCUGGUGUAGCGGUGAAAUGCGCAGAUAUCAGGAAGAACACCCGUGGCGAAGGCGGUUCUCUGGAACGCAACUGACGCUGAGACGCGAAAGCGUGGGGAGCGAACAGG